GACGAACGCUGGCGGCGUGCCUAAUACAUGCAAGUCGAGCGAAGUUUUUCUGGUGCUUGCACUAGAAAAACUUAGCGGCGAACGGGUGAGUAACACGUAAAGAACCUGCCUCAUAGACUGGGACAACUAUUGGAAACGAUAGCUAAUACCGGAUAACAGUAUUUCUCGCAUGAGAGAUAUUUAAAAGUUGGUUAUGCUAACACUAUGAGAUGGCUUUGCGGUGCAUUAGCUAGUUGGUGGGGUAAAGGCCCACCAAGGCGACGAUGCAUAGCCGACCCGAGAGGGUGAUCGGCCACACUGGGACUGAGACACGGCCCAGACUCCUACGGGAGGCAGCAGUAGGGAAUCUUCCGCAAUGGGCGAAAGCCUGACGGAGCAACGCCGCGUGAGUGAAGAAGGAUUUCGGUUCGUAAAGCUCUGUUGUUAGGGAAGAAUGGAUAUGUAGUAACUAUACAUGUAAGAGACGGUACCUAACCAGAAAGCCACGGCUAACUACGUG
rnacentral:rRNA from 1 species